AUUUUAACUUAGACAAAAUUUCCAGCUUUCCAGAUUUUUUUCUCUUGUUCUCUCUUGGCUAUGAAACAACCCUAUAAUUCCACAAGGGUUCUUGGGAUUGACCUUCCUUCCAAUCUAAAGGGAUUAAGCUAUUGAGGAAAUACACAUUAAGACACUAAAAUACCAAGGAAAUCAAGGUAUGGUUGCUGUCCACUUUUGUCCUUUUUUCAUAUACAUGUGUUGAUAGAGGAUUGCACAUAUUGGGUUGCUAUUAAAGGACGAUUGGGUGUUGUUGCGGACUGUUUUAUGUGUUUGUGUUGUGGGCUGCCCGAUUGCUAUUGGUAAAAGGUGUGAUUAGUUUUUAUUGAAUUAUAUAAUAUGGAUGUGGUGAUACACCACUGAAUUUAUGAUUGUGUAUGUCUAUUGCUCAUUUCGUUUUGUGUGUGUUGAUUGGAAGGUGAAAUGAAGCCGAGGUUGUAUCGGGGGAUAUUAUAUGAAUAUGUAUGGUAUGCAGCUGUAAUUGGAGUAUAAGAGGGUUAAAGAGACACCCUUUUUUGAUAAAUUAAGGGCUUACUUCCCGGCCACUAGUUUGGUGAAGUUAAAUAGCCAAAAUGUGACGUUUGGUUGCUAAUAUUAGUUUGCCAUAUAUUUCAUUGUAGAUAAGUAAUCUAAAGUGCGAGAAGUCGAGUUGGGCUGGUAUUGGAGUUUUACAACCAGGCACAGGUGCUUCGGCAAACAUGCCUCCUCAGUAGGAGCCCAGGAUAUCCAUCUGCUAUUAGUGAGCUCCAGUUUGCUUCGGGGGUUUCCGAGUUGGUUCCAUAUAUUUUUGGUAUUGUAUAAAAGUUAAUAGUAUGGCGGGGGUUUGUCCCGACCUUAGCUAAAUUUUGUGUAUCGUCUAGAGGCUUUGUAGACCAAUGUAAAGUUAAGCAUGGUAGUGUGUUAUCUUGUAGAUGUUAUGGCCCCAACGGCCAAGUCUAUUAUGUAUAUAAUUUUAGGGCUUGUCGUUUAUAUUUUUUUUCAUUAAGACAUUAUAUCCGUAUAUGGCAAAACCUUUGCC